rnacentral:rRNA from 1 species
UAAGACGAACCGUGCGAACGUUAUUCGGAAUCACUGGGCUUAAAGCGCGUGUAGGCGGAUGGGUGCAUCGAUUGCUGAAAGCCCCCGGCUCAACCGGGGAAGUGGCGUCGAGAUGGCCCGUCUUGAGGGGGGUAGGGGGACCUGGAACUUCCGGUGGAGCGGUGAAAUGCGUUGAGAUCGGAAGGAACGCCCGUGGCGAAAGCGAGGUCCUGGACCCUUUCUGACGCUGAGACGCGAAAGCCAGGGGAGCAAACGGG